rnacentral:hammerhead_ribozyme from 1 species
GCACUGCUGAUGAGUCCCAUGUAGGACGAAACAGCUGUCUAGUGC